GGGGCUUUCAGAAAAUCCAGAGGAACCCAGAUGCCAGGGGCAGUUCCCAUAAUUAAGCGGCAGGAAAUAUUAACUGCAUUAGAAAAUCAGGAGUGUUUCUAUGUCUAUUGCAAACCCCAAGCCGUAUUCUUCCCCUUUUCUCCUCUUUCUAUCUGGUAACUUCCUUCCCUUGAUGGUCCAGGGACCUCGCAGUGUAGGGCACUUCACGGAAAUAUCUGAUAAAUGUUUUACUAACCUUAGGGGUAUGACAUAGGGAGCCUAAAAAAUUCCGCCAGGGUGUCACUAGGACCCUUUCAUAUUGCAUUGUUUGGAAGUUGAAUAGGAUCCCAGUGCAUAAUGGGCAGAUAAUGCAUGUAAAAUAGCAAGAUAUAUGUAAAUAUGGAGUGUGAUUUGUGGCAAUCAACAUAUGAACAGGCCUGUGGUUUUGAUAUAUGUUGCAAACAAGAACAGGCCCGUGCUUUUGAUAGGUAUCUAUAUUCCAACCUGGUGCUUUAGAUGUUGCAAAAUAUCACUGCAUUAAAGGUACAGUAUGGAUUAGCAAAACAGUCUGGCUAGGGUAAUUGUAUAUCUGAGGGAUGCCUAGUCCGCAGCUCAGGUCAAAGGCUUUUUUUUUCCCCUCAGAAGUUUCUGAAUUAUAGCUUGUUUUAUUUGUCUUUUUGCUCGAGGCCAUCGCAUUGUAGAUGAAGGUGUUCAAAUAUCUUUGUAAACCCAGUUCUUGAAAUAGAAAGACAUAAACUUCAAAAAUGCAGUCGCCACAGAUUUCUGCUUUGAAUAAUUUGUUGUGUCUUUCCAGGGUCAUAAUUUUACAUUCACAAUUUUGUAACGUCCUUUUGGGGCCAUUAACAUGCAUUCAUUCAUAUACAGAUCUAUAUAUUAGCAAAGUCUGGCUUUGAUCUAUAUUAAACCGCACUGCUAGCUCCCUGCUCGCCUGUGAUCCUUAUGUUUUUUUAAAUAUUUAUUAUUAAUAUAUGAAACAAUGUGGGUAUUUGAGCCAUAAAGGCAAAUCCACUACAUUUCACUGCCGGUGGUUUCCCGAGAAAGUCUCUCACUAAUCAGUUUAUACACAAUAAUCCGCUGUCUUGGAAUUUUUAUAGGUAUCUAUGUAUAUGUAUGUGCGGCUCAGAGAAGGAGGCUUCCAGUUUAUGCUCUCAGAUUAGUAUGCAGUUGCCUAGAUCGCAGCACUCUGCAGGCUAGGAAGGAUAUAUUUCUGGCUAUAUAUCUGAAAUGCACACAUCCAGGGAGGAUGUAUUCCUGGCUACAUUUAGGCAACGCUCAGGCACCGCAGCCCUUUCCAGCUUUGUGUCUGCUAGCUGCAGAUGUCUGCUUAGCACAGCCUGGAGUAGCUGAGCCAUAUUCCCCUAGAUUAUUAUACAGUUUACCAAGAUGUGACCAAUUUUCAAUUACUUGAUCUAAGGCACAGAUAGGAGCACACCCUCCUUUUUAUCUCUUUCUUUUUUGCUUGCUUGCUUUUUCUUUUGGUCUUUUUUGGCGAUUGCACCGCGCAGGCGGCUCCAAACCCUGCAGCAUUUUUGGCUUGAUCUAAUUUCCAGGCGUGUCAACAAAUUCGUCUGAUGUGUGUGUGUGUGUGUAUAUAUAGGUAGAUAUAGGUAUAUCCAUCUGGAUAUAUAGCUAGGUAGAUCUACGUAUCUGUGUCGAGAGAGAGAUACAGCCGCACACGCACGCGUGUGUCCUGCUGCGUUUCCUUGGGGCGGCGCGGGUGCUGUGGCGGGUCGGAGGGAUGCGAUGGAUGGCUCUCCUGGCUCUGCGUUUGAGUUGUAUUCCUGGGACAAGGCGCGGC